rnacentral:rRNA from 1 species
UACGAACCGUCCAAACGUUAUUCGGAAUUACUGGGCUUAAAGGGUUUGUAGGCGGCCUUGUAAGUGGGGUGUGAAAUCCCUCGGCUCAACCGAGGAAUAGCGCUCCAAACUACAUGGCUUGAGGGAGACAGGGUAAGCGGAACUGAUGGUGGAGCGGUGAAAUGCGUUGAUAUCAUCAGGAACACCGGUGGCGAAAGCGGCUUACUGGGUCUCUUCUGACGCUGAGAAACGAAAGCUAGGGUAGCGAACGGG